GAUUCAUCAGGUUUCACUCUUCACUCAGUUAUCUUAGCUAAAGAUUAGCUCAAUAUUUUCAUAACAGGAUCAGACAAAUCUGAUUUAUAUUGUUAAAUCUUUAUCUUUCUUAAACCCCUCAGAGUAACUCUGUUUAAGAGGCAGUUAACAUGAUUUAUUUACUGUUUUGUUUGUGUGUCACAGGUGUUGCUCUGGGUCUUGAGGUCCGUCAGUCCGACUCCGACCUCAUCAGAAAUCCCAGAGACGACGUUCAGGUUUUCUGCAGCCACGACAAAACCGACUUCAGAAUGAUGCUGUGGUAUCAAAGACGACCUGGAAAAACCUCCUUGAAUCUCAUUGGAUAUCUGAACUACCAAGCUGCCACAAUGGAGGCUUUAUUCAACAAGAGUUUCAGCAUCCAAGGAGAUCUGGGAGGAAGUGGUGCAAAGAACGGCUCUCUGCUCAUUAAGAAAGUGGAACGAGAACACAGCGCAGUUUACUACUGUGCUGCUAGCAAAGCACAGUGACAGAAAUCUCUUCUGGUCUUUACAAAAACUCACUCAGAUGUUUGUUUUUUUCUCCCACCGAAAUGCUGUGGUUUU